CGAGGAAGGUUUUUGGAUCGUAAACCCCUUUUGUCAAGGAAGAAGCUCUGACGGUACUUGACGAAUAAGCCUCGGCUAACUCCGUGCCAGCAGCCGCGGUAAUACGGAGGAGGCAAGCGUUAUCCGGAAUGAUUGGGCGUAAAGCGUCUGUAGGUGGCCAGCUAAGUCUGCUGUUAAAGAUCACAGCUCAACUGUGGGAAGGCAGUGGAAACUGGCAAGCUAGAGGUUGGUAGGGGUAAGGGAAUUCCCGGUGUAGCGGUGAAAUGCGUAGAUAUCGGGAAGAACACCGGUGGCGAAAGCGCUUUACUGGGCCAGACCUGACACUGAAGGACGAAAGCUAGGGGAGCGAAAGGGAUUAGAUACCCCUGUAGUCAAGGGCGA
rnacentral:rRNA from 1 species